UGCUUAGAGGAGCAGCCAUUUCUGCCUCUACAUGUUGUAUCUAUCUCCCUUUGUGAUUCUUUAGAAUGUUCUUUGCUUACUGUGGCUCAAUAAUAUGGCUGGAAAUCAGGAAUUGUUCUGCCUCCAGCUUUGCUCUAUAGCUCAAGAUUGUCUUCACUAUUCAGAUUCCCUUGUGCUUCCACAUAAAUUUUAGGAUGGUUUUUUCCUAGUUCUGUGUUCUUAUGACUUUGGUAUUAUCAUGGAAAUUGAAUUGAAUCUGCAAAUUUAUG
rnacentral:lncRNA from 1 species